GUACACAAAAAUGCACAUGCUGUGAGCUCGAUGAGUAGGGCGGGACACGUGGUAUCCUGUCUGAAUAUGGGGGGACCAUCCUCCAAGGCUAAAUACUCCUGACUGACCGAUAGUGAACCAGUACCGUGAGGGAAAGGCGAAAAGAACCCCGGCGAGGGGAGUGAAAAAGAACCUGAAACCGUGUACGUACAAGCAGUGGGAGCACGCUUAGGCGUGUGACUGCGUACCUUUUGUAUAAUGGGUCAGCGACUUAUAUUCUGUAGCAAGGUUAACCGAAUAGGGGAGCCGAAGGGAAACCGAGUCUUAACUGGGCGUUAAGUUGCAGGGUAUAGACCCGAAACCCGGUGAUCUAGCCAUGGGCAGGUUGAAGGUUGGGUAACACUAACUGGAGGACCGAACCGACUAAUGUUGAAAAAUUAGCGGAUGACUUGUGGCUGGGGGUGAAAGGCCAAUCAAACCGGGAGAUAGCUGGUUCUCCCCGAAAGCUAUUUAGGUAGCGCCUCGUGAAUUCAUCUCCGGGGGUAGAGCACUGUUUCGGCAAGGGGGUCAUCCCGACUUACCAACCCGAUGCAAACUGCGAAUACCGGAGAAUGUUAUCACGGGAGACACACGGCGGGUGCUAACGUCCGUCGUGAAGAGGGAAACAACCCAGACCGCCAGCUAAGGUCCCAAAGUCAUGGUUAAGUGGGAAACGAUGUGGGAAGGCCCAGACAGCCAGGAUGUUGGCUUAGAAGCAGCCAUCAUUUAAAGAAAGCGUAAUAGCUCACUGGUCGAGUCGGCCUGCGCGGAAGAUGUAACGGGGCUAAACCAUGCACCGAAGCUGCGGCAGCGACGCUGAUGCGUUGUUGGGUAGGGGAGCGUUCUGUAAGCCUGCGAAGGUGUGCUGUGAGGCAUGCUGGAGGUAUCAGAAGUGCGAAUGCUGACAUAAGUAACGAUAAAGCGGGUGAAAAGCCCGCUCGCCGGAAGACCAAGGGUUCCUGUCCAACGUUAAUCGGGGCAGGGUGAGUCGACCCCUAAGGCGAGGCCGAAAGGCGUAGUCGAUGGGAAACAGGUUAAUAUUCCUGUACUUGGUGUUACUGCGAAGGGGGGACGGAGAAGGCUAUGUUGGCCGGGCGACGGUUGUCCCGGUUUAAGCGUGUAGGCUGGUUUUCCAGGCAAAUCCGGAAAAUCAAGGCUGAGGCGUGAUGACGAGGCACUACGGUGCUGAAGCAACAAAUGCCCUGCUUCCAGGAAAAGCCUCUAAGCAUCAGGUAACAUCAAAUCGUACCCCAAACCGACACAGGUGGUCAGGUAGAGAAUACCAAGGCGCUUGAGAGAACUCGGGUGAAGGAACUAGGCAAAAUGGUGCCGUAACUUCGGGAGAAGGCACGCUGAUAUGUAGGUGAAGUCCCUCGCGGAUGGAGCUGAAAUCAGUCGAAGAUACCAGCUGGCUGCAACUGUUUAUUAAAAACACAGCACUGUGCAAACACGAAAGUGGACGUAUACGGUGUGACGCCUGCCCGGUGCCGGAAGGUUAAUUGAUGGGGUUAGCCGCAAGGCGAAGCUCUUGAUCGAAGCCCCGGUAAACGGCGGC
rnacentral:rRNA from 1 species